UUCACAACCUAUUUCUCUGUUCAGCCUUGAUCACAAAGAAGCCAAUAACGUGGCCAGAAAACCUGUGAGACCGUCACGCCCACAACGCACUAACGUUUAUGCUUAAUUCAGUAUCCAAGGUGGUUUCAUUGAUACGUACGAAUUCCACGUGAGUUCAGCAAAAAACUUGGAGCAACCAAAUACUCAAAAUCAAAUACAAUGCUAAUAAUAGCUAUCAUCAUCGUCUGCAUCUCUAAGAACAAGAACUAGAAGAGAAUGCUAUUCAACAUGUCAAGUUUCAUCCACCCAAAAUGCGUAGGGAACAUACCGGGUCUGCAUAAAGACUAGAACGAGUAACCAAAGAAACCAACAAAUAUUCUGUGUAUAGCUGAUAGUGAUACAUUCCGCGUUGACACAGAAACACUUCAAUUAGUUGGUGGAAGAGCUUUAGCAAUUUAUUUGACUAAGGAAGAAGGUGCUAAAUUUGGUAGCCCGAAACUACUCAAAUAGAAAUUCGCAUUUUGCAAGAUGUGUCAAGCAUUGGCGGGUAUGGUAUGGUAUGGUAUGGUAUGAUGAAAAGCAGGAAUUUGAUACUGUAGAAAUAUGAAGAAAUGGACUUAGCGGCCAGACAAAAUGACACCCCUUUUUUCAGAUAAAACUAGUGGGUAUCCACAAAGUUAAACCACAAAUUCAAUUGAUUCGUAAGAAGUGGUUGGUUACUCUCUUUCCCUAGUACUCAGAUUUCUUUUUCUUCUUUUAAGCUUAAAGGAGUCUGGCUCCGAACAUGGGACAUCAUUUUAAGUUUGGCUCAACCAAUGAUGUGUUUGUACUAAAGAAUAUUCUAAUUCACUGCCCAAUGAAGUCUUGACAGAUGUAUGUGAUACUAUGAGAUAAGAAUAAUUGGGAUUUAAAAGGACAAAGGAACUUCCUUUUCACAAGAUAGCUCUCAGAGUUACU